CUCAGAUUUACCAGGCUGUGUCUUAGAGAGACUUUUGUUGCUGUGGGCUCCAGAAACUCAGGACACAACUUAGCAUCCAUGGCUACGAAAUAUUUCUUUUUUUCGUUUCUUCUGGCUUGGAGCAUUGACUGUGGGAUCAUGCAAUUCAACUGCGAACAAGCAAAGUAUAGUCAGAACUACCUGCACGAAUUUGUCAAGAAAUGCGUUUUAGCC